UCCCAUUGUAAAACAUCGAUCAUUCCUAUUAAAUUCAUAUGAAAGACAAGAUUUAGUUCUUAUGUAGAAGAAUCAUACAUGCUUAUAUUUAUUAUAGUCCAAGGUACAAACUGCACUAAAUAUAAUACAUGCAUGCAUACACUGACGAGAACCUAAACUUAGAAUUAGUACGCAUUCUUGUGCCCAUAAUACAUCUAAUCACUAGUCUUCAAAUGAAACAGAAAUAAGAUAAAAUCAUGUAGUAUUCCUCAAUAGAAAAUACUAACAAUGCACUCUUAGAUUAAUUCUUCACAGAAUGGCCAACACCGGGGCUAUGUCCCGGAGUUGUAGGUCGAAAAGCUUCAACAUUUUCCUCUAGAUUUCUCCGACUAUUCCGCAACUUCCUUGAGCUCAAAACAAAACUUCUUGUUGUCACUCUCUCAAUGGAUGAUGAUUCAAAUGAACCAAUGCUCUCUCUCAAACUCCUUCCUUCUAUAAUGGGAAGUAGAUCACUCGAAACCAGCAAGAGGAAAAAGAUCAAACAAUGAGUGAAAUGUGUCAUAGUUAACUCAAAGUUUCAAAUGAGAGUGAGAAAAGAAAAUACUACUCAAGAAGGAAUGCAAAAGAAGAUGAAGCUGCAAAGAGUUUAAUUAGGGUUUAAAAAACGGCGCUUGAU
rnacentral:lncRNA from 1 species